rnacentral:rRNA from 1 species
AUUGAACGCUGGCGGCAUGCCUUACACAUGCAAGUCGAACGGCAGCACGGGAGCUUGCUCCUGGUGGCGAGUGGCGAACGGGUGAGUAAUAUAUCGGAACGUACCCUAGAGUGGGGGAUAACGCAGCGAAAGUUGCGCUAAUACCGCAUACGAUCUACGGAUGAAAGUGGGGGAUCGCAAGACCUCAUGCUCAUGGAGCGGCCGAUAUCUGAUUAGCUAGUUGGUGGGGUAAAGGCCUACCAAGGCAUCGAUCAGUAGCUGGUCUGAGAGGACGACCAGCCACACUGGAACUGAGACACGGUCCAGACUCCUACGGGAGGCAGCAGUGGGGAAUUUUGGACAAUGGGCGCAAGCCUGAUCCAGCAAUGCCGCGUGAGUGAAGAAGGCCUUCGGGUUGUAAAGCUCUUUUGUCAGGGAAGAAACGGUGAGGGCUAAUAUCCUUUGCUAAUGACGGUACCUGAAGAAUAAGCACCGGCUAACUACGUGCCAGCAGCCGCGGUAAUACGUAGGGUGCAAGCGUUAAUCGGAAUUACUGGGCGUAAAGCGUGCGCAGGCGGUUAUGUAAGUCAGAUGUGAAAUCCCCGGGCUCAACCUGGGAAUGGCAUUUGAGACUGCAUGGCUAGAGUGUGUCAGAGGGGGGUAGAAUUCCACGUGUAGCAGUGAAAUGCGUAGAGAUGUGGAGGAAUACCGAUGGCGAAGGCAGCCCCCUGGGAUAACACUGACGCUCAUGCACGAAAGCGUGGGGAGCAAACAGGAUUAGAUACCCUGGUAGUCCACGCCCUAAACGAUGUCUACUAGUUGUCGGGACUUAAUUGUCUUGGUAACGCAGCUAACGCGUGAAGUAGACCGCCUGGGGAGUACGGUCGCAAGAUUAAAACUCAAAGGAAUUGACGGGGACCCGCACAAGCGGUGGAUGAUGUGGAUUAAUUCGAUGCAACGCGAAAAACCUUACCUACCCUUGAC